CAGAGAACAUCGCUCUCACGGGUGACUCUCCAACCCUAUGUUAGUGUACCAUUGUUGCUUUGGCGAGACGCUUCGGCCACCGGCUUACGCUGGUGAGUGCUCGCCAGAGGACCCCAAACUCUGAAUUAUUAGUGUCGUCUGAGUACUAUAUAAUAGUUA
rnacentral:misc_RNA from 1 species